rnacentral:rRNA from 1 species
UUUCUUUGCUGGCGACCGGCGCACGGGUGAGUAACACGUAUCCAACCUGCCCUUUACUCGGGGAUAGCCUUUCGAAAGAAAGAUUAAUACCCGAUAGCAUAAUGAUUCCGCAUGGUUUCAUUAUUAAAGGAUUCCGGUAAAGGAUGGGGAUGCGUUCCAUUAGGUUGUUGGUGAGGUAACGGCUCACCAAGCCUUCGAUGGAUAGGGGUUCUGAGAGGAAGGUCCCCCACAUUGGAACUGAGACACGGUCCAAACUCCUACGGGAGGCAGCAGUGAGGAAUAUUGGUCAAUGGGCGCUAGCCUGAACCAGCCAAGUAGCGUGAAGGAUGAAGGCUCUAUGGGUCGUAAACUUCUUUUAUAUAAGAAUAAAGUGCAGUAUGUAUACUGUUUUGUAUGUAUUAUAUGAAUAAGGAUCGGCUAACUCCGUGCCAGCAGCCGCGGUAAUACGGAGGAUCCGAGCGUUAUCCGGAUUUAUUGGGUUUAAAGGGAGCGUAGGUGGACUGGUAAGUCAGUUGUGAAAGUUUGCGGCUCAACCGUAAAAUUGCAGUUGAUACUGUCAGUCUUGAGUACAGUAGAGGUGGGCGGAAUUCGUGGUGUAGCGGUGAAAUGCUUAGAUAUCACGAAGAAC